UGGGGAAUAUCGCACAAUGGGGGAAACCCUGAUGCAGCAACGCCGCGUGAGUGAUGACGGCCUUCGGGUUGUAAAGCUCUGUCUUCAGGGACGAUAAUGACGGUACCUGAGGAGGAAGCCACGGCUAACUACGUGCCAGCAGCCGCGGUAAUACGUAGGUGGCGAGCGUUGUCCGGAUUUACUGGGCGUAAAGGGAGCGUAGGCGGACUUUUAAGUGAGAUGUGAAAUACCCGGGCUCAACUUGGGUGCUGCAUUUCAAACUGGAAGUCUAGAGUGCAGGGGAGGAGAAUGGAAUUCCGAGUGUAGCGGUGAAAUGCGUAGGGAUUGGGAAGAACACCAGUGGCGAAGGCGAUUCUCUGGACUGUAACUGACGCUGGGUCUCGAAAGCGUGGGGAGCAAACA
rnacentral:rRNA from 1 species